GAGAGAGGUCAUCCAUGGCAGCUGAUGAGCUUUGCUUUGUUCUUGGGAUCAAUAAUACAUAUACAGUGAGUUAUGAGAAGAAGCAAGGAAAGUGGGAAGUUUCUGACUUAUGUGUGGUGUCUGCUUCAAACAGGAAAUGACAGCAACCCGAGCAACGGAGUCCAAUCUUUCUAUAGUUUGGAGGAAAUGGACAUAAGGAAGUAGAUAAUCUCUUGUCAACCAACUGUUUCCCUGUGCCGCUAUCACAUUGAAAAAAGCAAAACCUCUUGUAUGUUCCAAAAAAAAAAGGGAAAAAAACCCCCCUCUUGUGUGCUCUGCAGCACCCUGCACCUACCAGGUGCCUGUCCGUGCCAGUCUUCAUUGCCUCCUUGCCUUACAGAUGUGGUGCUUGAUUGGGGAUCAUCUAUGAACUUCAGCAACAGAGUGAUGAUGGGUUGGGAUUCGGAGUUGGGGUCAUUGCUGAGCUCUCCAACAAGACCUCAAGCCUCCAGGUUUAGAGGGAUCAGAUGUCAGGGGUGGUGGCGGGCACUUCAGAGCUAUGGGAUCAGAGGCAGGUGGUGCAGUGGUAAGAAACAUUGCUGGCUAGAGGCUAGAGCUAUCGGUCCCUGCACAUUUAUGUCCAUGUCCAGUACUCUUAGAUGACAAGCGGGCAAGCUACUGUAUGAAGCUUUGGUUUGGAGGAACUGUAAGUACUAACUGGAUGAUGACAUCAGAAAUCGCAGCAGAGAUUGCUAUUAGUAACCUCAUGGUAUUUGUUCUACUGAACCAAGACACGAAGUACUAUGGAUUACUAGUGGUGUCACGGUGGUGGUGUUCAGUGGAGUGGCGGCCCGACGAUGGUGCAGCAGUGAUGAGGUUAGUUGUGGUGAAGUUGAGAAGCUCGGCAGAGCGAAGACUUUGCGCGGCACGUGUUGACGUUCCAAUUCAACCGGCCAGUAACGCUUAUUGAGUUGAGUGGUGCUUUGUGUUGUGCGGCUCAUGUUGAUGUUCCAAUCCAACCGGCCGGUGUUGUUGAGAGUUGAGUUGAGUUAGUGCGGCGCGUGUUGAUGUCCUAAUCCAACCGACCGAUGUUGUUUGUUGUUC